rnacentral:rRNA from 1 species
CAGUAGCCGCGGUAAUACGAAGGGUGCAAGCGUUAUCCGGAUUUAUUGGGUUUAAAGGGUCCGUAGGCGGACUUAUAAGUCAGUGGUGAAAGCCUGUCGCUUAACGAUAGAACUGCCAUUGAUACUGUAAGUCUUGAGUAUAUUUGAGGUAGCUGGAAUAAGUAGUGUAGCGGUGAAAUGCAUAGAUAUUACUUAGAACACCAAUUGCGAAGGCAGGUUACCAAGAUAUAACUGACGCUGAGGGACGAAAGCGUGGGUAGCGAACAGGAUUAGAUACCCCAGUAGUCCCUGUCUCUUAUAC